AUUACCUGGGCAUCUUGUUAAAAUGCAGGCUCUGAUUCAGGAGCUCUGGAAUGGGGCCUGAGAUUCUGCAUUUUUAACAAGCUCCUAGAAGAUGCUAG
rnacentral:pre_miRNA from 1 species